AAUCCCAAAGCAAGCAUGGAUAGGGACCGGCCAGAUUUCUCGUCAGGCAUCUUUGUUAAAUCGAAUAGACAUUGAAGAAUAAAGAAGGGAAUCUGAUUUUCCAAUCGAAGGAAAUCCCUGUAAAAAAAGGGUAAGAUCCAUAACAUGGAGAUUAUAGGAUCGUCAGGCUCAAUUGAGACUAUGUUUCCAACCUUACGAAACAAGUCAACAAUGAAGCAACCAUCAAGAACCAUUAUCUCCAGAAAUUCAUCGCUGCCAAGUUGAAUAGUUUCUGAAUAACAAUCUCUUGCUUUCGCUUCCAGGGGCUGUAAAACCUUCAAAAGGUCAUCCAAUACUAAGCCUUUUUCUUUUAUCCUUUUGAGCAAGAAGCCCAAAUAGCGCCACUUGUGCUCCUCAAUCAUCCUAA
rnacentral:lncRNA from 1 species